rnacentral:rRNA from 1 species
AGGAAGAGGGACGGAUGUUAUGUUUCGCUUGCUUUGACUUCGUCGCUGCGCUUUUUUCCAAAGCUUUUUAAACUUAGGUACCGUUAAAUCUAAUCUUAAUGUCCCAAAGCUUAAGUCUUAAGAGGCGCCGACGCGGGUACCCUUGUUGCUCCGACCCACGCGCGCGCCACGAGCGAGACCACGAGACGCUCGACGACGACGACGACAGCGGCAGCCGCCACCGGCUGCUGCCGCCAGACGGCGCCGCCAGCGACGUGGUCGGGAAGAAGGGCUAGCCGACCAGGGGCGGCGGCGGCCGCAGACGCCUACGCCGGCGCGGCGGCGGCGGCCGACGAAGCCGCCGGCGCUGGAGCUCGGGGCGCGCCAGGCGCGGGUCGCAGUGGUUGUAGCAGCGCUAGCGCGAGUGGCGCCCGGAGCAGCGCGACCGCCAGCAGAGGAUGAGGACGCAGGAGGACACCGCGGCGCAGCGGCUUCCGCGCCUCCUGCUGGCGCGGCGGCGCUUCGGCCGCCCCCGUGAACGGCGCUCUUAAGGCUCACUACGGCCCUCGUCGCGGGCCGUGGUCCGCAGCGGCGGCGGGUCGAGGUGCCGCAGCCUGCGCUAAAUGGACCUGGGAGAGUGCCGCCACUACCUCCACGCGGUGGUGGCCAGGUCGGGACUGGACGCGGGAGAGGUCGACGUCUUCGUCGGCUCGGGACUGGAGGCGGGCGACGGCGGCGACUUUGCCGACCCGUGCGUCGGCUGCGGCGGCGGGCGCCGGUGCGGCGGAUACUGGCCGUGCCUCAUGUGGAGGAGGCUGCUCCUGGUCCGCUGCAAAAUGUGGCGCGCUUUCUGGUUGUACAGAAGUAAGUCGGCCUCGUGCUCGGUCGCGUCGUGGUAAGACCUCGUGCGUCACGGCGGCGGGGGGCGAGGUCGCGGGCGCCGCGACGGUGGCGUUCGCUUAGCGGAUGCCGGAGGAGCAGGCGGCGGCAACGGCUCCGUCUCUGACGACGCCGGCUACGGGCGGCUCAGCGGAGGAGGACGGCGGGACCGGUUAAAUCGCGACUGGUCAGGGGGACUUCGGAGACAGGAUUUGUCCCUUCGGCUCUCGAGACUGCAGGUCGGCCCGCCUUCGUGGGCCGGCGGGUCGGACUUUGGCGACGUGACCCUGUUCGAGGCCCGGUAGAGGCCGGCGUGGUGUCAGACCCUGGUCCAGUUCUUAAGGCUGAGUAAGGCGCACCUACUCCGCCGUUACCUCUUGAACAAGGGGGUUUUGUCGUGGCGGCGGCGGCGCCCCUUAAGGCCAGUCCGCCGUCGUUCUCCUCCCGUCGUGUCGGCCGACGAGCUGGGUUUCUCCGACGUCUUGCACCGAUAGUACGAUUUCCGCGAGUUACACUGGCGCCUGCUCCACUAGCCUCGUGAGCACGUGCCUUUAGACCUUCUGUUCGGACUCAACAUACUUUGUGAUCGAUUCUACCGUGGUUGCUUUCUUCUUCUCAAUUUCGACUUUCUAAUGUCGCCACUAAAUAGUUUUUAACUAGGUCGUCUCGCGAAAGAUUUUCUGCAAGAGUUACAAGGAAAACGGAAGUUCUCUCACCUACGUUACGAAAUGUCUCGUUUGAAACUACGACUUCACUUAAUAAAUUCCUUUAGAAAACCUUGAUACCUCCGUCGAACAAGUCUGGAUUCUUCGUCGUUAGACAAGAACUUCAACGACCUACGCCAAGAGUUCUGACCCUUGGCGUACUUGCUGCCGUGGUUGGCUCCGCUCCGCUCCCGGAAGUUUGAGCUGUGCGAAGAUUUCGAGCGGCUGUAGUUCAGUUGGCUGCCGUUUUGCUGUGACGAGGUGAAGCACCAAGUUCUCUAGUAGGCCAGUCUUCCGAAGCUGAGGCUGGUUGGUCUUUGGUUGUUAGGACCCUGACCGUCACGGUCGUUUCUUGCCAAGUUCUUCCUGCCGGACUUUCACGACCGUCCCGAGUCGUCGCUCGAGAGUUUGCACUCCUUCCGCCGGUGCGACCUCUACCUGUGCGACUCGCCGUUGGACGACUCCGAGCGCUGGCUGGACCUCUUUCACUCCGACCAGAACGUCGAGUCCCUCUGCACACGGGCAGUCCUUUCGAGCCCGCGCCCCAAGAAGCUCAGCUACCUACCAAAAGAACCUUCCCGCGUCCGCCUCUAGCCCUCGUACUUCUACCGUCUCUCCUCGCGCAACGUCGCACACUUCCUCUGGUGCGUCAUGAAGGUACCGCUACCGUUGUACCUCCUCGGAAGAGUCGGAGACUCCCACAAGUACCACCACUGUCUCAAGUACAACUAUGACCUGGCGCACACGGCCCUGCAGCCGUCCUGCGGCCUCUCCCACUACUACCCCAGGCCAUUCAGCAAGGCGCAGUCGCGGCCGUGGAGCCACGGCGGAGCGGCCAUACUCUGCGCCGGCGAAUCGAGCAGCCUGCUCCUG